rnacentral:misc_RNA from 1 species
GGGAAAAUUGUAAAUAAAUUAUAGUAAAGGAUUCAACAAGUAGCAGAAACUCCAAACAGCUAUAAGGAAGGGUAUCUCAGAUCUUAAAUCUACUAGUAAUAAGAUACAUAAAUUGAAUCUGCAGUGUAAACAAAGCAAUGUGGGUAUCCUAAAUAACCUUAGGUAUGAAAUGGAAGUAACAGAUCAUACCAAGAUCCAUUUGUCAACAACCUUUUUGUUCAUAAGAUUUAUUUUUGAUACCCCUUUUUUGUCACACAGAUUCGACUAGGCUUGUGUAUCACCCUUCUUUCCAUCAGAUGAUCCAUUAGAGUCCCUCUCAGUCAACAAUCUCCCUGCUUCCUCAUCAGCUUGCUGAGAUUUCUUCUGUGCUUCCUUUGCCUUCAAUGCCUGUAACUUCUUAUGAUUAUAGUAUGCAACUCCCAAGAAAGCUAAUCCAUACCCAAUCAGAUUCACUGGAGUCACAGUAUCCUUAAUCACUGACCAAGAAAAUGCAAUAAGAAGCCAAUCUUUAACAACCCCAGCAACAUUCAUAGUCAAAGCUGAAGUCUUUCCCACCAGCAAGAACACAGCCAAGUUCAAAGCGAAGGCACACAAUGAAUUAGUCCCGAAAAUAGCAAAAUCAAAUUGAAAACUCGAGCUCUGUCUCAAAAUUGGAAGCUCCACAAAAAUCCAAGGAAUUGACAAGAAAACCAAGCAGCUAGGAGCAACAUAGUAGAGAGAAGUAAUUGGAUUUAAACUAAUACCCUUUGAAGUCAACAAGAUCUGGAUCAUAACAAGUCUAGUAGCCUCAAACAAAACAGCAAGCAACUGAAGAAAAACACCCCAAGAAUCAUACUUUGCUUCACCAUAAGCAGCAAUAGCAACACCCACUGAAAUUGCCAUCAUAUUACCCAUGGUAGAGUUGUUAAAAGUGUCCUUUUUAAACAAGAUCCCGAUGGUAUAAACAGCAACAGGCAUAAGGGCUUUGAGCAUUUGUAUAAAGGAAACAGAAAGAUAAAUGUAAGCAGAAUUUGAAAGCCAAAGAGAAACAGAGUAAAGAGCACCAAUGGGAAGUAUGCAAGUAAGAUAAACAUUCCGAGAUAAGGAAACAGGCUCAACAACUUUGAAAACACGAACAAGAAGGAAAGCUAAAGAUGAACAAAAGGUCAUGUGAAUCAUUGUUAGAGAGAUGGGAAAAGGCCAUCCAUAGAGCUUCCGGUCAAGAAUGUAUUUGUUGUAAACAAUGACAGUGAAAGAGAGGAAGAUCCAGAUUGCUACAUAAGUAUAAGAAAGAAUGAUCUUCUUCACUACUCCGUUUGACAAGGCGGCACCUUUCCCCAUUUUUUGUGGUGGCGAGGGGCGGCGGCGGCGAUGGUGGUGGUGGUGAAAGGGGAAUUGGGAGAGUUUUGGAGUCUGACAGAGUUUGACAAAAG